GGAAAUCGGUGUAAUUCCGAUGCGGUGCCGCCACUGUGAUGAGGAGCUUGCAGCAGAGAUUGUUUUUUAACAAUUGUGACACUGGAUUACGAUCCGGGAAGUCGUCUGCAAGGCUAUGAAUCUAAGCCAGGAUAC
rnacentral:ncRNA from 2 species